rnacentral:lncRNA from 1 species
AAAAAGUUGAGGAGCCUUUUUUAUUGAAAUUACGUUUGUAAAUGAAAGCAACGGUCUGUGAAUAUUCAGAUGACUACUCCAACAAAAUCGUUCUUGCACUUUUUUUCUUAGUAUUUCUCCAGCUUCUGUUGCCCCAUGAACUCUUAUUUUGCUGAAUUUUGUGGUUAAUUUGCUGGAUCCAGCCUGCCUUAUUUAGAAUUCUAACUGGGUAAGAAAAUUGCCUUUUCAUUACAAGUGCCCAAUUUUGGUCUCUAGUUGGAAGGUACUACAUUUUGCAGAGAAAGGAAAACAACAUCCUUCCCACCCCACCCCACUUUUGUGUUUCUGGGAAAAAAAAAAAACCCCAUUCAGUACUGGUUUCAUAGUAGUGCUCAACCUAAAUUGGUCCCGAACCUACAUGAGUGUUUAGUGUUUGAAAAUAAGAUUUUGGGUGUGAUACAUCACUACAAAAAGUGCUAAAUGUAUUAAGAACUUGAUGCCGACUGUAUUUAUAACAAUUAUUUUACAUUUGCAGAAAUGUAGCGCUUUUCCUACAAAUACGUAGGUGUAAGAAAAAAAGGGGGAAAGGUGCACCAUGUUUUAAACUUGCAAAUGAGUGAUUUUUUUUUUUUGAAAUCCAGAUUCCCCAAAGGAAAUUCACACACUUCUCAGCCUUUUACAAGCCAACACACUGACUGAAGAUUGUCCACAGUUCCUAAGAUUUAGCACAUAUACAAAAAUAAAACUUUAUAAAUUAAA